CCAAUAGCGUAUAUUAAAGUUGCUGCAGUUAAAAAGCUCGUAGUUGAAUUUCGGGACCAAUAUGUCGGUCGUGCUUCGGUACGUACUGUCAUUAUUGGUUUCUCCCUUCUGAAGAACCUUGAUGUCAUUAAUUUGGUGUCUUGGGGAAUCAGGACUGUUACUUUGAAAAAAUUAGAGUGUUUAAAGCAGGCUCGCGCUUGAAUACAUUAGCAUGGAAUAA
rnacentral:rRNA from 1 species